GUCUACGGCCAUGCUACCCUGAACAAGCCCGAUCCCAUCUAAUCUCAGAAACUAAGCAGGGUCGGGCCCGGUUAGUACUAACUUGGAUGGGAGACCACCUAGGAAGACCAGGUGCUGUAGGUG
rnacentral:rRNA from 1 species